CUCCAGAACUGCCUAUUACCUUCAGAGCCUCAAUGAGCUGCUGGAGGCGCUGGGCGAAAGAGAGUCCUUGGGCUACACAGAAAACUCCAAGAAACUGAUGAAAAGGAUGGAUGCUGAUGCUCUGACUGCCCAAGGAUGGGGAGCCCAGGAGCCUGCCAUUGCUGAUGAUGGAUAGACUGCCCCGGACUCUCAGAGGCCAGGAUGUUCAACUGGACAUUCAGUACCUGUUAAAGAUUCCGUCUGAUCUGACCCUUCCAUUUACAGAUCAGAAAAACUAGCCCACUGCCACAGAAACACAACUAGACCACUUCUUCAAAUGCUUUUCAGGGUGUCCCAAUUUUCCAGAGCUCCAGGCGCCAAAAUCAGACACAGCCUGGACCCCAUUCGGAAAAGUGCACCUGUGUUUGGCCUUCCCUUGGAAAGCCACUAAUUCAUCGAAUCCCAUGACCAUGGACAGGGGACUCAGCUUCUCUUGUUUCUCCAGUUAAGCGAAGGCAUUGUGCUGGGCUGUAUGUGUGGUGCCAUGAUGGAAACUGAAAACUGCCCAGCCAGUCAUCGCACACGAACCCUGUACCUCACUGGCUUAUUCCUAUAUUCAAUUUUCUGUGCACCAAAAACUAGAAUCCAGUCAGACUUUUCUGUGGGCACAAAGGCCAUUCUCCCAGACUGGCUGAAUAGGAGUUACUGGUGAGUGUCACCAUGGGGACCCUCCCUUAGGGCCCUCCCCUCUUGGAUGACCAGCAAUGCCCUGCUCAGAACCCCUCCCAUACUCACCAUUCUCUUUUAUGUACCCCCAGCCAGCCACGUAGCAGGUCUGGGGAAUUUUGGGAGGGCCUGCCUUAAAAGUGGGCAGGCAGCCUGGCCCAAUGAACUGCCCACAUGAAACAGCAGGGGUGAUCUUCAAGAGAGCAAUGUCAUUCCCUUCAUUCACAAUGUUGUAUUUUUCAUGGAUGAUGAUUUUCUCCACAUAUCUCUCCUGCAGAGGUGCCCGCACUGGCUUAUUGUUCCCAUAUUCAAUUUCCUGUGCUCCGAAAACCAGUCUCCAGUCAUAGACUUUUCUGUGGGCACAAAAGUUAUUCUCAGACCGGCCGGACCGAAGUUCUAGGGACCGGCUCCCCCCACCACACCCCACCCAGCACACGCUCCCACACAUACUUUUUGCUGUCGAAGCAGUGAGCUGCUGUGAGCACCCAGUGGGGAUUCAGCAGGAUGCCACCACAUGCGUGGUACCUGCGGUUGUUGUGAGCCAUGAAGAUCUGUAGGCUAACCAUCCAGGGCCAGGCCCCAAGCUGUGCCGUCUGCCCUCCGAUGAGUCGGACGCCCC